GAAGGCAGCAGCAAGAGCAAGAGUAGGGGAAGAGCGCGUGUCCUCUGCCGCUGCCGAUGACCUGCACUGAGCCGUGGUAACCAGCAGUUGCCGCCGUCGGGACCACCAUGAGCUGCCGCCGCCGAUGUAGGGCCGGUCCUCUGUUGUUAAGUCUACUCGAUCCACAACCUCUACCGACUUUGCCUCUGCCCACUGGUGCAGCAACGUCUGUCGAAGCUAAAAGGAGGAAACAAACAAGGGCUCGUCUCCGGCGGAGGCGGCGGCGAGCACAAGUGUAAUUGAUAAUCUCAUCGAGCAAUACAGAUGUUCGAACUACUACCUUCGCUCGUUCAACAACUGUUCGUACUACAACACAAACUAAAGUUGUAAAGACCAUACAGUACCCAAUUGAAGUCACUGGAUUAGAAGUUCCGUCAGGGUUAGGGCACUGAUCUUCCUACAACCGAUACCGUAACCGACUACUCAGUAGCGUCGUUGGAUGGGGUUGACACUUCCUGUGGUGCUACCGUAUACUGUACCGGAGUUGGAGCUUACGAUCCUUCAACUGGGGCUUCUCUUCCUUCUAGAUCACAACACGUAGUAGAAGAUACAAGAGAUACGAAAACCUACAUUAUACAGUCUGAACCGUCGGGGAUGAUUAAACACGUUGUAGUGUCGGAAUACAAUCUACUACAUACUUUUACCUACUACACACCUGUGCACUUUAUAGACAAAAUACGAUAUAACACAAGUUUAACACACUAC
rnacentral:rRNA from 1 species